rnacentral:rRNA from 1 species
UGAGGAAGAUAAUGACGGUACUCAACAAGGAAGUGACGGCUAACUACGUGCCAGCAGCCGCGGUAAAACGUAGGUCACAAGCGUUGUCCGGAAUUACUGGGUGUAAAGGGAGCGCAGGCGGGAAGACAAGUUGGAAGUGAAAUCCAUGGGCUCAACCCAUGAACUGCUUUCAAAACUGUUUUUCUUGAGUAGUGCAGAGGUAGGCGGAAUUCCCGGUGUAGCGGUGGAAUGCGUAGAUAUCGGGAGGAACACCAGUGGCGAAGGCGGCCUACUGGGCACCAACUGACGCUGAGGCUCGAAAGUGUGGGUAGCAAACAGGAUUAGAUACCCUGGUAGUCCACACCGUAAACGAUGAUUACUAGGUGUUGGAGGAUUGACCCCUUCAGUGCCGCAGUUAACACAAUAAGUAAUCCACCUGGGGAGUACGACCGCAAGGUUGAAACUCAAAGGAAUUGACGGGGGCCCGCACAAGCAGUGGAGUAUGUGGUUUAAUUCGACGCAACGCGAAGAACCUUACCAAGUCUUGACAUCCUGCGACGRACAUAGAAAUAUGUCUUUCCUUCGGGACGCAGAGACAGGUGGUGCAUGGUUGUCGUCAGCUCGUGUCGUGAGAUGUUGGGUUAAGUCCCGCAACGAGCGCAACCCUUAUGGUCAGUUACUACGCAAGAGGACUCUGGCCGGACUGCC